AUUGAACGCUGGCGGCAUGCCUUACACAUGCAAGUCGAACGGCAGCAUGGAGAGCUUGCUCUCUGAUGGCGAGUGGCGAACGGGUGAGUAAUGCAUCGGAACGUACCGUGUAAUGGGGGAUAACGUAGCGAAAGUUACGCUAAUACCGCAUACGACCUGAGGGUGAAAGCAGGGGAUCGCAAGACCUUGCGUUAUACGAGCGGCCGAUGUCAGAUUAGCUAGUUGGUGAGUUAAAGGCUCACCAAGGCGACGAUCUGUAGCGGGUCUGAGAGGAUGGUGCGCCGCACAGGGACUGAGACACGGCCCAGACUCCUACGGGAGGCAGCAGGGGGGAAUUUUGGACAAUGGGGGCAGCCCUGAUCCAGCCAUGCCGCGUGAGUGAAGAAGGCCUUCGGGUUGUAAAGCGCUUUCGGCCGGGAAGAAAUCGCACAGGCUAAUACUCUGUGUGGAUGACGGUACCGGCAUAAGAAGCACCGGCUAACUACGUGCCAGCCGCCGCGGUAA
rnacentral:rRNA from 1 species